CCAUCCCUCCCCCAUCCUACUUCUCCGACCAGUCUGACUGUCAUCCUGAUUAAAUUUUAUCUCUGUUUGGUUCAUUGUCAACUUCCUCUAGCUAACAAUGAGUGAUUCCACAUUUUCCUUGAACCUCAUCCCCUUUGAUCUCUCGUUUUCACACCUUACCCUUCGAUAUCUCUCUAUAUCCCCCUCCGCU